AUUAAACGCUGGCGGCAUGCCUUACACAUGCAAGUCGAACGGUAACGCGGGGCAACCUGGCGACGAGUGGCGAACGGGUGAGUAACGCAUCGGAACAUGCCCAGUAGUGGGGGAUAGCCCGGCGAAAGCCGGAUUAAUACCGCAUACGACCUACGGGUGAAAGCGGGGGACCGUAAGGCCUCGCGCUAUUGGAGCGGCCGAUGUCAGAUUAGGUAGUUGGUGGGGUAAAGGCCCACCAAGCCGACGAUCUGUAGCUGGUCUGAGAGGACGACCAGCCACACUGGGACUGAGACACGGCCCAGACUCCUACGGGAGGCAGCAGUGGGGAAUUUUGGACAAUGGGCGCAAGCCUGAUCCAGCCAUGCCGCGUGCGGGAUGAAGGCCUUCGGGUUGUAAACCGCUUUUGUCAGGGAAGAAACGCUCCGGGCCAAUACCCUGGGGUAAUGACGGUACCUGAAAAAUAAGCACCGGCUAACUACGUG
rnacentral:rRNA from 1 species